UCCACAGCCCACACCGUGGAGCUUCCAGCGGAUGGAUUCUCAGAUUUUUUACAGAGGUAAGGCAAAUGUUCUUGGUAGGUUUCGACCACAUUUUUUCCCACAAGAGACAUGUGACAUUAUUUCUCAAGACCAUGGAGAGGAGUCAAGUCGUAGUUCACCUCCAGACUCUGCGGACUGUACCAGCAGCUCUAGUGAAGAUGAGAUUGGUUAUGAAGACCGGGAUGACAAGCAGGAAGAACCCCUUUUGCUUCCAGAAGACUCCACACCUAUAGGGACCUCCCAACAUCACAUGCAUGACUGAGGCAAGAUGACAACACUGGGCCAACGAGGAGAGAGAAGACGCAAUGGACGGGGGAUUCUAACAUUAACAUUCAAUAAACUGUUCAAACUU